UACGGGGGGGCGAGCGUUGUUCGGAAUUACUGGGCGUAAAGGGCGCGUAGGCGGUUCAUUAAGUUGGAUGUGAAAACUCUGGGCUUAACCCAGAGCCUGCAUUCAAAACUGAUGGGCUGGAGUUCUGGAGGGGAUAGCGGAAUUCCUGGUGUAGCGGUGAAAUGCGUAGAUAUCAGGAGGAACACCGGUGGCGAAGGCGGCUAUCUGGACAGAAACUGACGCUGAGGCGCGAAAGCUAGGGGAGCAAACAGG
rnacentral:rRNA from 1 species